CAUAAUUAUUGUUCCAAAUAGAGCACAGAACAUACACAAAGCAAGUACGUACAUAUCAUCAGAAGAAGAAGCACUGAAGAAAGAAGAGCUCAGGAACAAUGGCCCACCUGACACUAAUUGCCAGAGCCAGUGAUGGACUACCUCUGUCCCCAUCCAUUGUCAAUGAAGAGUCUGGCCGGGAUUAUGCUGAAUACCAACCCAAGGCCAAGCAGAUAUUCCGCAAGCUGUCGUCAGUCAGCCCCCCUCGAUGCUCAAUCGAGUGUGACCCGGGUCGUAUGGUGUUCCACUACAUUCUUGAGGAGGGGAUAUGCUACCUCGCCCUGUGUGACCUCACCUAUCCUGCCAAGCUGGCCUUUAACUACCUCGAGAAUCUACACAAAGACUUCAGUGAGCAACAUGGCAACGAUGUACACAAGGCCAGUGGACCGUACCACUUCAUUGAGUUUGAUCUCAGUGACAAAGCGGGGAAGCUGGUCUACCACUCUCGUGCCAGAGGCUAAUGGCUGAUCAGCUAAUGCAGCAUGUGAGCAUAUCCUGGCUACUGUGGAUUGGUUCUGGACUGCUAGUUCAAUAUCUGCCAAGUUUCACCAGAGAUGUGUACGAGUAUGGUAAGCUGAGGAGUGAGAGUGACUGGAGCUGGAUGAUCCCUAGUGUGCCCAAGACUCAAGGAGGUCAGUCAGGGUCAAUAUAUACAGUGUAUCAGUCUACCUCUUGUAACGAGAACCCCCUACAAGUCUAGCUUGUAACACCUAGCUAAGUACUGGAUUGUGAUUUACAAUAGUGAGCUCCCUAGCUGAGACUGUCCUGACUUGUAGUUGUUGUAAUUGCAUUGUCCCAGUCUAAGGAGGUCUUUAUUCCCCUCUGCAGGUGGUUCACCCACUUCUACGUGUGGGGGGUGGUGAGGAACUACUCUGUAUUCCUCUACUAUACCAGCCACUGUCUACUGCACACACGACUACCGCUAUUGGGACCAACAGCACUGCUGCAUUUGAAUUCAGACUCACCCCUUGCUGGCCUGAUUGUAGCCACUCUGUUGUUCCUCUGGGCCUACACACAUCAGUACCGAUGUCACGUCAUCCUUGCACAACUCAGAGCAGCCAAGAACAAGCCACAGUACGGCGGCUGUCACUGCCAAGCAGACUCACGUUUGCUAUAGACACAAGUUUGAGGACUAUCCAAACAACAGGCAAAUUGUUAUGACCAUUUGUUUAUUAGUUGCUAAUAUAAUUUAUGCUAUGUACAUGCAGUACUGUGUGGUAUCAUUCAUAUUCUCCAAUCAAAAAUUUAUCAAAUUAAUGAUCGAAAAAU